CAGUUCACUUCGACCAUUCGUGAGCUUCGGUUGUAAUAAAUUGUUUUCGUUGCUUGAAGUGUUGAAAAUUAGCAGUUAUCACUGCAAGUGCUUUGUGUUGCUGCAAACUUUAAUCUAUAACUAGUCAGUGUCGCGUUUUUUUCGGUCGAUUGUCCGUGCCAUCUAACGACAAGCAUCCAUCAAGAAAAGCGUUGUUUUGGUCGCGCGCCAUACGACGACAACGGAGACGAAGUUAUAUAAAAGUUGAAUCGACUGCCUUAUUUUUGUGUCCGUGGAUUGUGUGAUUGUGGUGCUUUGGCUGCAGUUUUCCUCCGAAGUUUGCCAGAAGCAGUGUCUUGUUUGUUUCCUUCCAAUCUUACCCUUCCGUCGCUAUCAUGGCUGAUAAGGUAAAAGUGUGCAUCGUAGGAUCCGGAAACUGGGGUUCGGCCAUCGCCAAAAUUGUCGGCGUCAACGCCAAGAGGCUGCCGAACUUCGAGGACCAGGUCACCAUGUACGUGUUCGAGGAAAUGAUUGAAGGAAAGAAACUCACCGAAAUCAUCAACACCACACACGAGAACGUCAAGUACCUGCCUGGACACAAACUACCAGAGAAUGUCGUUGCCGUCCCGGACGUCGUCGAAGCUGCCAAGGAUGCCGACAUUCUGAUCUUCGUUGUACCACAUCAGUUCAUCCGGGGUCUGGGCGCACAGCUGCUCGGUAAAAUUAAAGCCUCGGCCGUCGGCCUGUCGCUGAUCAAGGGCUUUGAUGUUGCCGAAGGUGGCGGCAUGGAGCUGAUUUCCCACAUUAUCACCAAGCACCUGAAGAUCCCCUGCUCGGUACUGAUGGGUGCCAAUCUGGCCGGUGAGGUAGCCGAAGAAAAAUUCUGCGAAACCACGAUUGGCUGCCGGGACAUGAAGAUCGCUCAAACGCUGCGGGAUCUGUUCCAGACGCCCAACUUCCGGGUGGUCGUGGUGGACGACGUCGAUGCGGUGGAAAUUUGUGGAGCGUUGAAAAACAUCGUUGCCUGCGGUGCCGGAUUUGUGGACGGUAUGGGUCUGGGAGACAACACCAAGGCGGCCGUCAUCCGGUUAGGGCUGAUGGAGAUGAUCAAAUUUGUCGAUGUGUUCUAUCCGGGCAGUAAGCUGUCGACGUUCUUCGAGAGCUGCGGCGUGGCGGAUCUGAUUACCACUUGCUACGGCGGUCGCAACCGUAAAGUGUCGGAGGCUUUUGUAAAAACUGGAAAAUCGAUCAAGCAGCUCGAGGAUGAGAUGCUGAACGGCCAGAAGCUGCAGGGCCCGAUCACUGCUGAGGAGGUCAAUUUUAUGUUGAAGAACAAAGGCAUGGAAGACAAAUUCCCGCUGUUCACUGCGAUUCAUAGAAUCUGUACCGCGCAAGUCAAGCCCCAAGGUUUCCUGGACUGUUUACGUAACCACCCGGAGCACAUCUUCGAAGCCAAGCACUUGAUGAAGUUUUGAAGAUCCAUCCAUCCCUCUGUGAUUCUCUGUGCCGUUACUGAAGAUGACUUGCAUUCGUGUUUUCCAAAUUUCGUGUAUCAUCCAGUGCAACAGCAUGCAAAUUUAUUUUUGGUAUCGAUUUCGGUUUUGUCUUCGUAUAUUUAAGUAAACACACAGCUUCCGUUUCCAUUUUUAUUUCUUUUCUCGUAGUGCGUAGAAUUUGUGUAGCAGACUCCUCUUCAAGCUGGAACCCGCCAAUGGGUUUGCUUCUCAGGGUGCUUUUUUCCCGGCAGUGUUGUUAACAUAUUUCCUGAAACAACGGGCAAAACUCUAAAAAAAUACAUAAAUGUUUGACCUAGUACUACAAAAUAACUCCUUUCGGCACACGAACACGCAUACAUACUUUCUACUAUCAGAAUCAGAUCGCGUGAAUGUGCGACGUGUAUAUGAAAACGUGCAAUUUUACAAACAUAUUUCAAAUCUAAUACUACUUUUUCCUGGUAAUUUUAUGUCUUUACGAUCCAUAAUGUCGAAUGUAGGGAAUUGAUUAGCAACAAAGAGCCAAAAUACUAAAUCUUGUUAUUGUAAAAGACAGUUAAACUUUCCAUUGUUGCCAUAAGAAACAUUAAUUUAAACAGCGAUAGUAUUUACGUUUGAGCGAGAGAGUGUCGAAUGACUUUAAAGAAUUAUUGCCAGCACAGCAAUCAUACGUUUGCCAUAUCUAAAAUAACAGAUUGAAAAGCUUAUCGUUCCAUUGAUCCAAGGUCGUUUUUUACGUAGAUUAUUUGUGUUGAUUGUGACCUUCGAUUUCAAUGCCAUUAAGGCCACGAAUUUUUUUUUUCAAAAAAUCCAAUGAAAUUUUCGCGUAAAAAGCGGCCUUCGUCAACGUUAUUCCUGAGUGUACACUUACACAGAAGACUUUGCCCCAGUGUUUGUGUGUUAUGCUAUUAAGUUAGGUUAAAACGUGCUUUUAUCUAUCAUGAAAACCAAAACGGUAAUGGUAAAUAAAAAAUUUCAGAAAAAAAAACGAAGAAAACACAAA